rnacentral:rRNA from 1 species
UGGGGAAUAUUGCGCAAUGGGCGAAAGCCUGACGCAGCGACGCCGCGUGAGGGAUGAAGGUUUUCGGAUCGUAAACCUCUGUCAGAAGGGAAGAAACCGCACUGUGCUAAUCAGCAGUGCCUUGACGGUACCUUCAAAGGAAGCACCGGCUAACUCCGUGCCAGCAGCCGCGGUAAUACGGAGGGUGCAAGCGUUAAUCGGAAUUACUGGGCGUAAAGCGCACGUAGGCCGCUUUGUAAGUCAGGGGUGAAAACCCACGGCUCAACCGUGUAACUGCCUUUUAUACUGCUUAGCUUGAAUCCGCGAGAGGGUGGCGGAAUUCCAGGUGUAGGAGUGAGAUCCGUAAAUAUCUGGAGGAACAUCAGUGGCGAAGGCGGCCACCUGGACAGGUAUAGACGCUGAGGGGCGAAAGCGUGGGGAGCAAACAGG